rnacentral:rRNA from 1 species
GAUGAACGCUAGCGGCAGGCCUAACACAUGCAAGUCGAGGGAGAAGCCCUUCGGGGCAGAAACCGGCGCACGGGUGCGUAACGCGUAUGCAACCUACCUUUCACAGGGGGAUAGCCCGAAGAAAUUUGGAUUAAUACCCCAUAAUAUUGUUGGAUGGCAUCAUCUGACAAUUAAAACUGCGGUGGUGAGAGAUGGGCAUGCGUCCUAUUAGCUAGUUGGAGUGGUAACGGCACCCCAAGGCUACGAUAGGUAGGGGUCCUGAGAGGGAGAUCCCCCACACUGGUACUGAGACAGGGACCAGACUCCUACGGGAGGCAGCAGUGAGGAAUAUUGGUCAAUGGUCGGAAGACUGAACCAGCCAUGCCGCGUGCAGGAAGAAUGCCUUAUGGGUUGUAAACUGCUUUUAUAUGGGUAGAAUAAGGAGUACG